rnacentral:rRNA from 1 species
UACGGGGGGGGCAAGCGUUGUUCGGAAUGACUGGGCGUAAAGCGCGCGUAGGCGGAUCAGGAAGUUGGGGGUGAAAUCCCGGGGCUCAACCCCGGAAUGGCCUUCAAAACUCCUGGUCUUGAGUUCGAGAGAGGUGAGUGGAAUUCCGAGUGUAGAGGUGAAAUUCGUAGAUAUUCGGAGGAACACCAGUGGCGAAGGCGGCUCACUGGCUCGACACUGACGCUGAGGUGCGAAAGCGUGGGGAGCAAACAGG